GACGAACGCUGGCGGCGUGCUUAACACAUGCAAGUCGAACGGAAAGGCCCUGCUCUUGUGGGGUGCUCGAGUGGCGAACGGGUGAGUAACACGUGAGUAACCUGCCCUUGACUUUCGGAUAACUUCAGGAAACUGGGGCUAAUACCGGAUAGGAUCUCCUGCUGCAUGGUGGGGGUUGGAAAGUUUCGGCGGUUGGGGAUGGACUCGCGGCUUAUCAGCUUGAUGGUGGGGUAGUGGCUUACCAAGGCUUUGACGGGUAGCCGGCCUGAGAGGGGGACCGGCCACAUUGGGACUGAGAUACGGACCAGACUGGUACGGGAGGCAGCAGUGGGGAAUAUUGCACAGUGGGCGGAAGCCUGAUGCAGCAACGCCGCGUGCGGGAUGACGGCCUUCGGGUUGUAAACCGAUUUCGCCGGUGACGAAGCGUGAGUGACGGUAAUGGGUAAAGAAGCACCGGCUAACUACGUG
rnacentral:rRNA from 1 species